UCCCUGGUGGUCCAAUGGUUAAGACUCUGAGCUUCCGCUACAGGGAUCCUGGGUUUGAUCCCUGGUCUGGGAA
rnacentral:tRNA from 1 species